GUUUUAGUAGCCUAACUACACAAGGCAUCGGUCUUGUAAACCGAAGACUGGGAGUGAAAUUCCCCCCUAAAACA
rnacentral:tRNA from 1 species